rnacentral:rRNA from 1 species
AACGAACGCUGGCGGUACGCUUAAUACAUGCAAGUCGAACGAGAAAGCACUUUCGGGUGUGAGUACAGUGGCGCACGGGUGAGUAACACGUAGGUGACCUACCCUUUAGUUUGGGAUAACAGGAAGAAGUUCCUGCUAAUACCAGAUGAGUAAGACAAUUUUAGAAGUAGUCUUAGAAAGAUGGCCUCUCUACGAUGCCGUCGCUGAAGGAAGGGCCUGCGGGGCAUUAGCUUGUUGGUGGGGUAAUGGCCUACCAAGGCUCUGAUGCCUGACCGGUCUGAGAGGAUGAUCGGCCACACUGGAACUGAGACACGGUCCAG